rnacentral:rRNA from 1 species
UACGGAGGAUGCGAGCGUUAUCCGGAUUUAUUGGGUUUAAAGGGUGCGCAGGCGGUCUGUUAAGUCAGCGGUCAAAGCCCGGGGCUCAACCCCGGCCCGCCGUUGAAACUGGCAGUCUCGAGUUGGAGAGAAGUAUGCGGAAUGCGCGGUGUAGCGGUGAAAUGCAUAGAUAUCGCGCAGAACUCCGAUUGCGAAGGCAGCAUGCCGGCUCCACACUGACGCUGAGGCACGAAGCGUGGGUAGUCGAAC